CCGGUCUUAGCUCAGUUGGUAGAGCGGGAGACUGUAGUGAAAUCGACAUCUCUAGGUCACUAGUUCGAAUCUUGUAGACCGGA
rnacentral:tRNA from 1 species